rnacentral:rRNA from 1 species
ACGAACGCUGGCGGCGUGCUUAACACCUGCAAGUCGAACGGUAAGGCCCCUUCGGGGGUACACGAGUGGCGAACGGGUGAGUAACACGUGAGCAACCUGCCCUUGACUCUGGAAUAACAGUUGGAAACAGCUGCUAAUACUGGAUAUUCAUCGUCUCCUUCCUGGGGGGUGGUGGAAAGCUCCGGCGGUCAGGGAUGGGCUCGCGGCCUAUCAGCUUGUUGGUGAGGUAAUGGCUCACCAAGGCUUCGACGGGUAGCCGGCCUGAGAGGGCGACCGGCCACACUGGGACUGAGAUACGGCCCAGACUCCUACGGGAGGCAGCAGUGGGGAAUAUUGCACAAUGGGAGCAAGCCUGAUGCAGCAACGCCGCGUGCGGGAUGACGGCCUUCGGGUUGUAAACCGCUUUCAGUAGGGACGAAGGGUGACUGACGGUACCUACAGAAGAAGGACCGGCUAACUACGUG